GCAUUAGCACCAUUUCCACUAAUGAAAAAAAGAAAAAAAAAAAAAGGGAAAAAGAAAAUCACUUGGUUUUCCCUCCACCAGAACCAGAAACAGAAACCAAGAAUCACAUGAAGGAGCCAACCACUCUUUCCCAAUGCUGCUGUUCCAUUUCUUUCUUCCCGCUUCUCCUGCAACCCAUUACCUCUCUCCUUUCCCUUCUCCACCUCCCUCUCCUGCUCUUCUUCGUCUCCCUUAUCCCCAUCCCUUCUCCUCUCUCCAUCGAUCUCCUCCCUUGCGUUCUUCUACCUCCCUGCUGAAGUGCCUCUGCUUUCAAUCGCUUUCUUCUUGUUUUGAUGAGGAGCUGGAUCGCCUCCUGGUGCUCCUCCCGGACGAGAUGCGCCGGAAGGUUGACGACCACCCGGAACUCAGCCUCCUUAUCGAGAUUGUCAUGGACCUUGGACGUAGGCCACUCGCUCGCUUCCCUUCUGGAGAUUUCAUCCUCUCCGAUCGCCCCAUCACUCCCCAAGAUCUUCACCAUGCUACCUCCCAGGUUGGUGACUUCUCCAAGGACAAUCGUGCGGGAAUCAGCCGGACCUUGCAUCGGAUUAGUGCUAUUAGGAAUCGGAAGGGUGUAAUUAUUGGUCUCACUUGCCGGGUUGGCCGGGCGGUGACUGGAAGUGCCAAUUUGCUUAGAGAUUUGGUUAAGGAUGGUGGCUCACUGUUGCUCAUUGGUCCUCCAGGAGUAGGAAAGACGACGAUUAUUAGAGAGAUAGCCCGGAUGCUAGCAGAUGAUUAUAGAAAGCGUGUUCUGAUUGUUGAUACCUCAAAUGAGAUAGGUGGAGAUGGUGAUAUUCCUCACUCUGGAAUAGGCAAUGCUCGAAGAUUGCAAGUACCCAAUUCUGACAUGCAGCAUAUGGUACUGAUUGAAGCAGUAGAAAAUCACAUGCCACAAGUAAUUGUAAUCGAUGAAAUUGGUACAAGACUUGAGGCAAUGGCUGCUAGUACUAUUGCCCAACGUGGUCUCCAGCUUGUUGCAACUGCUCAUGGAGUAACUAUUGAGAAUUUGAUCAUGAAUCCUUCUUUAGAGAUGCUUGUUGGUGGUAUACAGAGUGUUACUCUUGGAGAUGAAGAGGCUAGUAGGAGGGGUGUUCAGAAGACUAUCCUAGAGCGCAAAGGUCCUUCAACAUUUACUUGUGGUGCAGAGAUAAUUUCUAAGACUGAAAUACGAGUUCAUCGUAGUUUGGAGUCCACAGUGGAUGCUCUGCUUGCAGGCAGAUCCCCUAAUUUUGAAGUACGAAAAAUAAACCCAGAUGGGUCUAAACAGGAAAUGCUUGCCAAUCAAAUUGAGAGUGAUAAUACCCCUCAAAAGGAAACUAAAAUUUCAGUUGAUAAUAUGUUGAAAUAUAGUGAAGAAAAGAACAGUGACGGUGUAUUGGAGUCAAAACCGGAAGAAGCGGAGGGAUCUCAUCCUACUGGCAUGGAUAUUUGCCUGUAUAUCUAUGGGAUAUCGGAGACGAUCGUUUUGCAAGCUAUCAAUCAGCUGGGAAUGGAUGAAAUGAUUCAACUAACUGAUAACAUAAGUGAAGCUGAUGCUUUUCUUGCUCUGCAUGCUAAGAUGAAGAAGAAUUCUCAACUUCAAGCAGCUGCCAAAUCUCAUGGCAUUCCAAUCUACGUGACAAAGAUGAGUUCCUUGGUACAAGUCACAAAAGCCAUCAGUGCUCUGACAAGUGAACUUACCAGUGGACAGAAAGAUCUUAAAGCCGAAGAAAACAUGAGUUCAUCAGAGAAGGCUGAUGCUUUAGAGGAGGUUAGGUGGGCUGUUGAACAUGUUGUUAUUCCAAGAGGUGAGAGUGUCCAGUUACUACCAAGGCCCUCCCAGAUCAUUUCUGUUCAGAUAGAUCUUAUUGAGAAUUACAAGCUUAAGUGGGAGAAGUCCGGCUACCUCUACUACCUGACUACCCAUGAUGCAUCAACUGCAGCGACAAGUUUUCCUUUGCUGCCUCCCAUUUUUAGCCAAUGUCAAGAAUGAAACAUGGUGUUUGAAGCAUCAUCCUUGUCCACAAGAGAGGGGGGAGAAUUUCCUGCAGCUUUCUUAAUCUAGGAAUCCAGAGAGGCUGACAGGUAUAAAAGGGUUAUACGUUUGGGAUUUAAAAAUGGCGGCAAACAAAUUAGGGUUGAAUUGAGUGGGAAGCAUCAGAAACCAUGACUGGUUUCCAUGCCUUGGCAGGAGGCAGCCGAAAUUACAGGUUAGUUACGUAGAGAACUGGCCAACCUAAUAUUGUCCACUAUCUAAGAUAAUACCAGUAAAAGAAUUAAUAAAUAAAAGGGACAAACUUAGUUCAUUUUGAUAAUGUAUGCUCAAAUCAUCAAUAUUUGUCAAGUCAACAAUGGAAUGGAUGUUUGGGAAAAGUUUAUUUUAUUUCACCUUUUUUUAAUGUGCCUACAAAAUCUUGGCUGGGUUCACAAGGAGAUGGGAGCAAAAAUACUUUGAAAAAAAAAAUGAUUUAAUGAUGUUAUAGACAUUUAGAUAUUAUUGGUAGUUGAUGAAUAUAAAAAAUAUUUUUGGCCGUUCUGUUUUUAUUCUAGUGCUCAUCUUGUUAG